rnacentral:rRNA from 1 species
GACGGAGGGCGCAAGCGUUGUUCGGAAUUACUGGGCGUAAAGCGUGCGCAGGCGGUUUGUUAAGUCUGAUGUGAAAGCCCCGGGCUCAACCUGGGAACUGCAUUGGAAACUGGCAAGCUCGAGUAUGGCAGAGGGGGGUGGAAUUCCGCGUGUAGCAGUGAAAUGCGUAGAGAUGCGGAGGAACACCGAUGGCGAAGGCAGCCCCCUGGGCCAAUACUGACGCUCAGGCACGAAAGCGUGGGGAGCAAACAGG